rnacentral:lncRNA from 1 species
GGAAUACAAGCUACAUCCGGCAGUACUAAAGAAGCUUCCUUUGAAGAAGAAGCUUAUGACCCUGAAAAUAUUGCAAUGGAAGAGGUGAAUUAUAUGGGAGAAUCCUAUGAAAACACCUAUAAUCCUUCAAGGAGAAAUCAUCAAAAUCUCUCAUGGAAGGAUCAACAGAAGCCUCAUCAAGGCUUUAAUAAUAAUAAUGGUGGGAGAAAUAGGUUUGGCAAUAGCAAGUCUUUUUCAUCAUCUUUUGAGCAGCAGACAGAGAAUUCUAAGCAGAACUUCUCUGACUU